rnacentral:lncRNA from 1 species
CAACGCGAGUGGGAGCACCUGGAGCGCGAGCUUGGAACGAGAAUCCACGAGUUGUAAGAAAAUGGCAGAUAAGCGGGACAUGAGGGAAAUCGCCAGCUUCGAUAAGGCCAAGCUGAAGAAAACCGAGACGCAGGAGAAGAACACCCUGCCGACCAAAAAGACCAUUGAACAGGAAAAGAGGAGUGAAAUCUCCUAAAAGCCUAGGAAGAUUUCCCCACCCCACCCCUUCAUCUCCCUUCAUCUUCAUCAUCAUCUCAUGAUGUGGAGGAAGAGCCCCCUCCAAGAUGGACGCGAGCCACAAGCUGCACUGUGAACCCGGGCACUCCGCGCCGAUGCCACUGGACCGUGGGUCUCUGAAGGGGACCCCCAGCCCCCACUAAUCGGACUCCCAAAUUUCACCAGUUUGCCCUGGGAUAUUAUAGAAAAUUAUUUGUAUGAUUGAUGAAAAUAAAACACACCUCGUGGCAAAAAAAAAAAAA